UGUUACCAAACGGCGACUUUGAACUAGGACCAAAACCAUCGGACAUGAAAGGAACGCAAGUAAUAAACAAGAAGGCGAUUCCUAGCUGGGA
rnacentral:sRNA from 1 species